AGAGUUUGAUCCUGGCUCAGGAUGAACGCCUGGCGGCGUGCCUAAUACAUGCAAGUCGAGCGAACGGACGAGAAGCUUGCUUCUCUGAUGUUAGCGGCGGACGGGUGAGUAACACGUGGAUAACCUACCUAUAAGACUGGGAUAACUUCGGGAAACCGGAGCUAAUACCGGAUAAUAUUUUGAACUGCAUGGUUCAAAAGUGAAAGACGGUCUUGCUGUCACUUAUAGAUGGAUCCGCGCUGCAUUAGCUAGUUGGUAAGGUAACGGCUUACCAAGGCAACGAUGCAUAGCCGACCUGAGAGGGUGAUCGGCCACACUGGAACUGAGACACGGUCCAGACUCCUACGGGAGGCAGCAGUAGGGAAUCUUCCGCAAUGGGCGAAAGCCUGACGGAGCAACGCCGCGUGAGUGAUGAAGGUCUUCGGAUCGUAAAACUCUGUUAUUAGGGAAGAACAUAUGUGUAAGUAACUGUGCACAUCUUGACGGUACCUAAUCAGAAAGCCACGGCUAACUACGUGCCAGCAGCCGCGGUAAUACGUAGGUGGCAAGCGUUAUCCGGAAUUAUUGGGCGUAAAGCGCGCGUAGGCGGUUUUUUAAGUCUGAUGUGAAAGCCCACGGCUCAACCGUGGAGGGUCAUUGGAAACUGGAAAACUUGAGUGCAGAAGAGGAAAGUGGAAUUCCAUGUGUAGCGGUGAAAUGCGCAGAGAUAUGGAGGAACACCAGUGGCGAAGGCGACUUUCUGGUCUGUAACUGACGCUGAUGUGCGAAAGCGUGGGGAUCAAACAGGAUUAGAUACCCUGGUAGUCCACGCCGUAAACGAUGAGUGCUAAGUGUUAGGGGGUUUCCGCCCCUUAGUGCUGCAGCUAACGCAUUAAGCACUCCGCCUGGGGAGUACGACCGCAAGGUUGAAACUCAAAGGAAUUGACGGGGACCCGCACAAGCGGUGGAGCAUGUGGUUUAAUUCGAAGCAACGCGAAGAACCUUACCAAAUCUUGACAUCCUUUGACAACUCUAGAGAUAGAGCCUUCCCCUUCGGGGGACAAAGUGACAGGUGGUGCAUGGUUGUCGUCAGCUCGUGUCGUGAGAUGUUGGGUUAAGUCCCGCAACGAGCGCAACCCUUAAGCUUAGUUGCCAUCAUUAAGUUGGGCACUCUAAGUUGACUGCCGGUGACAAACCGGAGGAAGGUGGGGAUGACGUCAAAUCAUCAUGCCCCUUAUGAUUUGGGCUACACACGUGCUACAAUGGACAAUACAAAGGGCAGCGAAACCGCGAGGUCAAGCAAAUCCCAUAAAGUUGUUCUCAGUUCGGAUUGUAGUCUGCAACUCGACUACAUGAAGCUGGAAUCGCUAGUAAUCGUAGAUCAGCAUGCUACGGUGAAUACGUUCCCGGGUCUUGUACACACCGCCCGUCACACCACGAGAGUUUGUAACACCCGAAGCCGGUGGAGUAACCUUUUAGGAGCUAGCCGUCGAAGGUGGGACAAAUGAUUGGGGUGAAGUCGUAACAAGGUAGCCGUAUCGGAAGGUGCGGCUGGAUCACCU
rnacentral:rRNA from 1 species